GUUUUUUUUGCCUUUAACAUUUAAGGAAUAAUAUGAGAAUCUGAGGACAACCCUGAAGACAAAGUUGUUUUCCUAGAAGAAAAGACUAAUGCCUCAAGGUGAACAGACUAAAACCUGAGCCACAGAAUCCAAACACAACACAGCACAACACAGUGUAAUAUGGAGCCACAAUGUAACACAACACAACACAGUAUAAUAACAAAUUAACAACACAACACAGUAUAACAAAAUAACAACACAUCACAGUGUAAUAACAAAAUAACAACACAACACUGUAUAAUAACAAAAUAACAACACAACACUGAGCCUCCGAUCAGAAGCACAUGGCUGUUUUCUGACAAGCCUUUAGGACAUGAUCUAUGAUCUGAUUGUUUGUUUUACUUUUUAACCUCACCUGCUUGCCUGAUUGAAGUAACUUGUUCUUCUAGGGUUGAUCAGAACAAAUUAUUCUUAUGCAAAUUUGAUAGCAACCAGACACUUUAGAAAGUCAAAAUAUCCAUAUAUGCCUGUAGUGCAGAUACUGCCAUGUAAGGGGAAAAAAAAAGCACAAAUUUAAGUAAAAUACUCUUUAUGUCAUCUGCUCUUGAUUGUUCCCAAAUCCUAUUUACAAAACUUUAUUGUCAUGGUUUUGGCUUUUUACUUGAGGAAAAUAUUCUAACUGGUCUCUUUCCUUCCUGUUUGUCCAGCGGUGCUGUGAACUAGAACCGUGGGUAGAGGCCGGGUACCCUGGGGUUUGUGGAGAAGGUGUCACUGUGCCCCUUCUUUGUACUACACAGCCCAGAGCACCAUCUUAAACCUCAGUAUAAACACAAGGGCAUUUCUCAAAAUGAAUUUGUUUUUAAAUUUCACCUUGUCGUGACUAUGGUACGGGAACACGGGUGUCCCAGAAGGGCUGGUGCAGUUCAGGGGGAGCUGCUUGCUGCGGAGGUAAGGCACCUGGAAGCCAGCCUAGGGUUUGGAUGGCGCCUCCAGGGCACUGGGUCUGCACGUGGGUUAAGGCUGUCUGUCCUUUGCAGUAGUCACCUGCUGUGCUAGGUUCUUUUGAAUCUGUUUUGAAGUUUAAGCACAAUGUUGACCCUUCUGUAAUUUCCUAAAAUUACAUUGUUUUCCUAAGACAGCUCAACUUUAGGAAAGUACUGCUGUACAAUAAACGUGGUUUCCUUUUGUACUAGAAC
rnacentral:lncRNA from 1 species